GUGAAUCAUCAAAUUUUUGAACGCAAAUUGCACUCUCUUCGGAGAGUAUGCCUGUUUGAGGGUCAGCCUAAAAAAAAUCCACAUAGUUGCUGUUUUGCGGUGGCCUUCGUCGGAAAUUGGGUCAUCUUUAAACCUUUGGGUUUUAAGCGCCUUAAAAUUUUCUUUCUGUUUCCAGGAACGUUUCUAAGAUUUAUUUCUUUACCUUUUAAGGAUUAUCUUUUU
rnacentral:misc_RNA from 1 species